CUGCAGCCCGAGUGGUGAUCGAUUUUAUUGGGCCUAAAGCGUCCGUAGCCGGUUUGACAAAUCUUCUGUGAAAUUGUACAGCUCAACUGUACAACGUGCAGAAGACACUAUCAGACUUGGAACCGGGAGGGGUAUGGAAUAUUCCAGGGGAAGCGGUAAAAUGCUAUAAUCCCUGGAGGACUACCUAUGGCGAAGGCACCAUACCAGAACGGAUUCGACGGUGAGGGACGAAAGCUAGGGGAGCGAUCCGGAUUAGAGACCCGAGUAGUCC
rnacentral:rRNA from 1 species